GUGGGGAAUAUUGCGCAAUGGGGGAAACCCUGACGCAGCAACGCCGCGUGAGCGAAGAAGGUUUUCGGAUUGUAAAGCUCUGUCUUUAGGGACGAUAAUGACGGUACCUAAGGAGGAAGCCCCGGCUAACUACGCGCCAGCAGCCGCGGUAAUACGUAGGGGGCAAGCGUUGUCCGGAUUCACUGGGCGUAAAGAGCACGUCGGCGGUUAAUUAAGACAGGUGUGAAAGUUUUCGGCUCAACCGGAAAAGUGCACUUGAAGCUGGAUAGCUUUGGUAUCGGAGAGGUAAGCGGAAUUCCUAGUGUAGCGGUGAAAUGCGUAGAGAUUAGGAAGAACACCGGUGGCGAAGGCGGCUUGCUGGACGAUAACUGACGCUGAGGUGCGAAAGCGUGGGGAGCGAACAGGAUUAGAUACCCCUGUAGUCC
rnacentral:rRNA from 1 species